AUGACGCACGUCCUAGUUCAUCUAGUCGACGAGAUUGUCAUUCUGGGGCCCGCAUUUCUACACAAUAUGUUCCCCUUUGAGAGUUUCAUGGGAGUCCUAAAGAAAUAUGUCCGUAACCGCGCUAGGCCAGAAGGAAGCAUCACCAUGGGCCAUCAAACAGAGGAUGUCAUCAGGUUUUGUGUUGUCUUCAUUCCUGGCCUAAAGAAGAUAGGUCAACCUAAAUCACGGUAUGAGGGGAGACUGACUGGAAAAGGCACGCUGGGAGGGGCCUCAAUAAUAUGCAGUGAUGGAUAUUCUUGGUCUCAAGCACACUACACAGUUCUAUAG
rnacentral:rRNA from 1 species